UACAGAGGUCUCAAGCGUUGUUCGGAUUCAUUGGGCGUAAAGGGUGUGUAGGUGGCGCGCUAAGUCGGGUGUGAAAUUUCGGAGCUUAACUCCGAAACUGCAUUCGAUACUGGCGGUGCUUGAGGACUGGAGAGGAGACUGGAAUUCAUGGUGUAGCAGUGAAAUGCGUAGAGAUCAUGAGGAAGACCAGUGGCGAAGGCGGGUCUCUGGACAGUUCCUGACACUGAGACACGAAGGCCAGGGGGAGCAAACGGGG
rnacentral:rRNA from 1 species